rnacentral:rRNA from 1 species
UUGGAGGGCAAGUCUGGUGCCGGCAGCCGCGGUAAUUCCAGCUCCAAUAGCGUAUAUUAAAGUUGUUGCAGUUAAAAAGCUCGUAGUUGAAUUUCGGGGUCAGCAGGUUGGUCGUGCCACUGGUAUGAACUGGCCUUGCUGAUUCCUCCUUCUUGAAGAACCGUGAUGCCAUUAAUUUGGUGUUGCGGGGAAACAGGACUGUUACUUUGAAAAAAUUAGAGUGUUUAAAGCAGGCUCACGCUUGAAUACGUUAGCAUGGAAUAAUAAAAUAGGACGUUUAUCCUAUUUUGUUGGUUUCUAGGGUUGACGUAAUGAUUAAUAGGGAUAGUUGGGGGCAUUAGUAUUCAAUUGUCAGAGGUGAAAUUCUUGGAUUUAUUGAAGACUAACUACUGCGAAAGCAUUUGCCAAGGAUGUUUUCAUUAAUCAAGAACGAGAGUUAGGGGAUCGAAGACGAUCAGAUACCGUCGUAGUCUUAACCAUAAACUAUGCCGACUAGGGAUCGGGUGAUGUUAAUUUUUUAAUGACUCAUUCGGCGCCUUACGGGAAAC